rnacentral:rRNA from 1 species
GUUCGAGCGUCAUUACACCACUCAAGCUAUGCUUGGUAUUGGGUGCCGUCCUUAGUUGGGCGCGCCUUAAAGACCUCGGCGAGGCCUCACCGGCUUUAGGCGUAGUAGAAUUUAUUCGAACGUCUGUCAAAGGAGAGGACUUCUGCCGACUGAAACCUUUAUUUUUCUAGGUUGACCUCGGAUCAGGUAGGGAUACCCGCUGAACUUAAGCAUAUCAAUAAGCGGAGGAAAAGAAACCAACAGGGAUUGCCCUAGUAACGGCGAGUGAAGCGGCAACAGCUCAAAUUUGAAAGCUGGCCUUCGGGUCCGCAUUGUAAUUUGUAGAGGAUGCUUUGGGUGAAACGCCAGUCUAAGUUCCUUGGAACAGGACGUCAUAGAGGGUGAGAAUCCCGUAUGUGACUGGAAAUGUUAACCUAUGUAAAGCUCCUUCGACGAGUCGAGUUGUUUGGGAAUGCAGCUCUAAAUGGGAGGUAAAUUUCUUCUAAAGCUAAAUAUUGGCGAGAGACCGAUAGCGCACAAGUAGAGUGAUCGAAAGAUGAAAAGCACUUUGGAAAGAGAGUUAAAAAGCACGUGAAAUUGUUGAAAGGGAAGCGCUUGCAAUCAGACUUGUUUAAACUGUUCGGCCGGUCUUCUGACCGGUUUACUCAGUUUGGACAGGCCAGCAUCAGUUUCGGCGGCCGGAUAAAGGCUCUGGGAAUGUGGCCUUCACUUCGGUGAAGGUGUUAUAGCCCAGGGUGUAAUACGGCCAGCCGGGACUGAGGUCCGCGCUCG